CCGCAUGCGCAGCUGUUGGAGGUCGUUGAGACGGGAGACGCUUUUACUCAAAUCCUUUAACAUGUGUAAAGUACGAGGAACAAUGGGCGAGCAUCUUCGACCACCGUGAGAAAAGGUUGGCAAGCUGAAGUGAUCCUGAUGUCCGACUGGUGAUUCGGACCACGUGGCUCUUGAGAUGAGUGAUGGCCGUGGUAUCUGGAAUGUGACUUGACGGUACUGAUGCAGCAGGUGUGGCAGAAAUGGUGGUCUCAGGCUUGCCUGGCUUAUCCUGGAUCCAGACUGUUCUCAUGCAUCAUGGAUCAGGUGUUGGAAGCUGAGUAUUACCAGUGUGCUUCAGAGCUGGAUUCCACAUGGAUGGUUGAAAAGAACAAGAUGUGAAUAAAUGCAAAACUUUAUUCAUCUGUACAAACCUUGAACAUCUUGGCAUAUAAAUAAAGGAAUUGCACAAUU